GCUUUCCUGUGGCUCAGUUGGAAGAGCAUUGUGCUAACAAGGCAAAGGUUGUUGGUUCAAAUCCCAGGGAAAGCA
rnacentral:tRNA from 1 species